rnacentral:rRNA from 1 species
AAAGUCGUAACAAGGUUUCCGUAGGGCAACCCGAUGCAGGAUAAUUG